rnacentral:lncRNA from 1 species
CAGGCGUGAGCCACCGCGCCCGGCCAAUUUCUAAGGCUCCAUUAGGGCUAAGGUUCAUGUAUCCAUGGUGAAGUAUAGAAGAACUCAGAAUCGUUCCAAACAUAAUGGGCUUGGAGUAAUGGAGAACUCCAAGGGCAGGAGGUAACCAUUAAAGAGGACCAUCAUGUAGUGUGAGGAGUCAACAUUUCACACUAGAAAGCCCUUGGUUCAAGUUUUGUCUCUGCCACCUACAGAUUUUGUAACCCUGAGAGAAAAGGAAAAUCCUACGGAGGAGGGGCUCUGAUGGCUUUGAAGAAGGCAGUGAAUGGCCACAUGUUCCCUGAGGACAGCACAGGCUAAAGGCUCAGCUAGAAGAAAGGCACAGAGAUAGCAAGGGAAACUAGCUACCUCUUUAUGUACUGCCCUAUGGAGAGGCACACAUGUCAAGAAACUGAGGGAGUGCCUUCCAGUCAACAGCCAGCCAGGAACUAAGGUGCUCAGUACAGCAGCCUCCACAAAGGACUGAACAAUGCCAACAGCUAUUUGACUGUGCUUGGAAGAUCUCCGUUUAGUUAACCCUUCAGAUGAGACCGCAGCCCUGGCCAGCAAACAAAUUGCAGCCUAUGGAAAGACCUUAAGGCAGAAGCACCCAACUGAACCACCCGAGGGCUCUGACUUACAGAAACUGUGAGCAUAUAGUGAAAUGGCCUCUACCUUAUUUUGAAUGGAUUUCUGGGAUAAAGUUCUUCAGUGAUAACAUGUUUGAAGUUUCAGGAAAGAGGCACUGGCCUUUACUUCUCCACCUCGAUUCACUUCCAUGCUGUUGACAAAUGUUAUAGUUGCCCAGGAUCAGAGGGAGAGACUGACCCUGUGACCAUUUCCCCAAAGGCGGCCUUUGGCCACUCCGUGCACUGGAGCACAUGACCCUCUGCCUCGCCCCUGCCACAUUAACCAGGUGACUGUCUGCCAAGGCCCAGCCCAGUCCAAAGGGAAUUGGGAUUCAGUGUCCCAAACAAGGCACUGAUUAGCUGGUAAUCAGGCAGCGAUUAGCAGGUCGGGUCACCUGCAGUUCAGUGCCCAUUGUUCCCAGCAAAGUCCUGGGAUAUUUGCCACACGGCUGGCCAGUCUGAAUGUCUGAGGAUUCCGAUGCCUGCAGCUCUGCUGUGGAGAUGUGUGAUUAGGAACAAAUCCUCUGUUCUCUAAGCCCAUCCCCCCAAGGAGGCAGUGCAGUGUGAAUAGUGAAUCCCCUUCUCUAUUCACACACAAAGGUUUGGGGAGAAGAAUGGCCUGCUUAGGAGCUCAACAGUGACAGAGAGGUGAGGCCCCAAGGAUGCACUGAAGAACUGAAAGCAAAUUAGCACAUUCCUCUUCCUGCACCAUGAUGACUGAGAGUGGAGGAACGGGCAAGCCCACAUCCAGACUGGGAUUCUACUGUGAUCUUGAGAUGUGACCUUGGACAAGAUUUUUAACCUCUGAGCUUGUUUACCUUGAUUUUGAGAGUUUAAUAACACUUGCCUCUUCAGCCUUUGAAGUUCAGAUUUAGAAAAUGAACAUAAAGCAGUUACUACAGUCUCUGUAGCGUGUGACCAAUACAUGCUAUCACCGUUAUCAUCGGUCAUAGUAAUAUCAAUAUUUAAAAUAUCAUAAUUAUUUGAAAUACUUUAUUUAAAAUAUGCCUCUGUAACAUCACUUCUAAAUGAGAGAUAGCCCCUUUGUAGGAGGCCAUGAUAAGGAUGAGAUGAGAAUUCUUGUAAAGCUUUCAUCACAGGGCCUAGCAAGUAAUUAGCACUUAAUAAAUCAUAGUAACAAUGGUGAUCACCAUCAUUAUUGUUUGUACAAAGUUGAAUGGAAAAGACUAUUUUGUAGCACUUUUCACUGUAUUGUAGCAUGUGAUCAUGAAAAUUUAGACAAAGCAUAAUUUUUCGAGCUAAAAGGAGAUUAAUGAAAUUAUUCAUGGCACAUUCACACCAUUGGACACUGUUCAGCUUUAUAGUCUAUGUGCCCUUCCACCACCUGGAGAUCUUGCUAAAAUUCUCAUUUGGUAAAUCUGGGGUCAGCCCAAGAUUACGCAUUUCCAGUGGAUUCUCAAGUGAUUCCAGGGCUACCUGUCCAUGGACUCCACUUUGAGUAAACAGGAUGUACACUUUUACAAUAAAAAAUGUGUAUAUGCAUUUAUACAGAAAUAUAGAAAAAUAUUCCUAGGCUAUACUCAAGAUGGGGGACAGUGUUUUUCACCCCCUUCGCUAAACUGUACUAUCUUUCCCAGAAAUUUAAUAACAAACAUGUAAAAACAUUUAAAAAUGCAAUAAAUUUUAUUGAUGCAAGUUCUUCCCUUCUCUAAAAGUUUGUCACACAGCCAGGUUUUCCAGCACAUUCUUUGCCAGGUCUGCAUGCCUGAUGCCAUGAUUUUCUUCUAGAGCCACACUAGGCCUUUUCAGCAUCCUAACCACAAGGAAAUCACAUUAAUGCGUGCUCAUUCUGGAGGCUUCAACUCUCCAAGGAGCAGGUGGGCCCCAGCUCAGAUAUAGCUGCUGGCCAGAGUUCAGGACCCAGAGGCGUGCAGGCCAGCCAGGUGCAAGAUAGACAGUUAUUAACUCAGAGAAGCCCAGAGAGUUUCUAAAAUCUGAUUCUGGCUGCACUUGGAAAGGGCGUUCCAGUUAACAUGGCGGGGUGCUUUCUGCAGUUUAAAGGAGCUCAAGGAAGUUCCUUGUACAAAAGAGAUGGCUCCACUAGCCCUUCCUCCAAAGGGUGGCCUCAGAGAGGACCCUUGUGAUCUAAGGGUAGGUGGGUUUAAGGUUUUUCUUCCUUUUAACUCCUCUAAACGGAGACUGGGAUACUUACUUGGGUACUUGAGCCACGUAUUUAUCUUAUUCUCAUCAGACUGUUUCUGUCACUGAGAGGUUGAAAGAGGUCUGAAUGAGCAUCCAGAGACAGAAUUAGAUAGAUAGAACCUCAGUUGAAUUUUGACCUUGCCAUUUAAUAGCUAAACUGCCUUAGGUCUAAGCAGUGACUCUGUUUCCUCCUAUGGAAAAUGGAAGUAGCAAUGCUCUGGUCUCUCCAGGAUUCAAACUUAUGGAGCUAAAGAUUCUAGUUUCCAGUUAGGUAAAAGCAGGCUUGCAAAUGCCAAUACUAAUAAUUAUUAUUUUUAUUCAGUGUUCACCAUCCUUUGCACCUUAACAUACACCUUGUACCUGCCUAGAUAAGCCCCCACGCGCUGCCCACCUGAGAUCCCUGGUAUGGGGUCUCCAUCACCCCAUCCCUCUGUGUAUCAGGCAGUGGGUAGAGGAAAACAGAUACAUACAAAAACUGGGCAGUGGGAGGAGAGUUUACUAAAGGGAUAUUUAACUGAGGUGAGGGCGGGACUUGAGGAAUAAAUAACAUACAGUGGCAUGGAUAGGGGUUGAGGAGGUACAUUCCCCCCCAAGCUUCUGGCUUUCAGUAGAGAGAACAGCCAACUUGUCAAGAAGGGGGAUGCCAAGGAAUAAAUAGCCUGACUCCUGUCUUCCCACACUCCUGUGACCUCCUCAUGCUUUUGCCAAGAUCUUGGCUUGGUUUCUCCUCUGAUUGAUUUCAACCAACUUUCUGAUAUUGGCAGGCGGCUAUCUUAUGUGCCCAUGUUACAUGCUCAUGAUAAAGCUGCAUUUCCUGAGGGGACACCAAUGGAUACACCUCUGCCUGGCACGCAGCUUAGAGGCUAAAUGUAUGAAAAGCAACACCAUGCAAAUCAUUUUGAAACUGCUGUGGAACUCUCACGGGACCCUCCAUUCUAGACAUCCAGUCCCACUAGUGAUCUGACCAUGAAACCUACUAAGAGACUUCCAGAAGAAGAUGACCUCUGAAAGGAGAAAACUUUCUUCCAAGCUUCUGUGGAACAAGAAGAUGCCAUCCCUUUGGUGGAGCCCAAAGGGAAACCAGGACACUGAAGGAAUUAACCAGAAAGAAAAGAAGAGAAGAAGGAGAAGAAAGAAGAAGAAGAAGAAGGAGAAGGAGAAGGAGACGAGG